GUAAAAUUGAAUGAAAACUUACGACACAGUCUGGAGUCCAAACACAGCCAGUGAUCCAGUCUUUGUGACAGUGAGGGAGCGAUUUAGAAAGAACAGGAGGAGAUGAACUCACAUCCCACACAAGCAGAGCCUGAAACAAGACAGUAGCUGAUCCCCAUCAGGACUGAAAGCCAGACACGUGACUCCUCCACUGUGGCCCCUCAACGUCUCUUGUGGCUCCACUGAGGCGUCAAAGUGCAGAUCACUCAACAGCCACAGAACAAUAGUGAAGUCGUCUGAACCAAAGAGAAACGGACAGAUUCAACUUACGAGAAGUUAAAUGACUACAAACCCAUCAGGAUGUUUUGACUCAGCAGCAGGUACCUGAAGCUGUAGCCAGGUAGGUGGAGUUUUGAGCCAGUGCCAGGAUGGACCCUCGUUGGACACCAAACGUCCCCAGCAUUUUUAAGCCCCCCAACAGUCCCUCGUCUCCUUCUUUUUUACUCCAGACACUCAGAUGUUUGUCGCUUCCUCCACAGACCAGCAGGUCAGGUCUAGUCUGUUCUGCAUCCAGGACCCACAGCAGACACAGUACGGACACAUGAAGGUCACCAGACUGCCACAUCUUCUCACCUACAGUAGGAGAAAAAUAAAAACUGUUAUGGUCUGUUUCUUUAA